CAAAUAUUGGCGCCUGACGUCUCCAAGUCUCGAAAGUGGAAGACAUCUAACAGAAUGGCAGAUACAGUGGCGAAAACUUUGUUGGAGCAGAACAUUACUGUAUACCUGUAUGUGUCAAGAGAAAUAGCUAGACAUCAUCUUGACAGCCAAUGAUAGGAACUGCAUGUGUACAGGUCAAUGGCAAAGCUGACUGCUACCACACAGCCUGCAGUAUCUCUAAGGCAACACAAUGCAAUUGGGAUGGAGCUGGAAGCUGUUCAAUUUGGUGACCAACAUCGUCAUUGAAAAUGGCAAUGCCUCCGUCUUUUCUCCAAUGAUUCCAGCGGUGGCCAGAUCUUUUGCAGGAUGAACAGCGACAUUGACAGCGCAGCACAGUGCAGAGUGAGUACACGGACUUUGUCCAGUGUGACAUAGAAAGGAUAUCGGCAUCAAACAUUGUCCAGCCUCCAACCAAUCAGGAGAACUACUUUUUUCUGAAUCCCUACACCUGUCUGCUCACAGUGCAAAUAUAGCCUGCAAGACCUUCCUCUCAGACCAUUUGUACAUCACGGCGCAAGUCACACGUAUCCUCUUCAAGAAUACACAAUCAUCUUAGUCUGUUCCAGCCUGCAAGAUCUUCCUCCCAUACCAUUUGUACAUCACGGCGCAAGUCACACGCGUCCUCUUCAAGAAUAGGCAAUCACCUUAGUCUGUUCCAGCCUGCAAGAUCUUCCACUAGACCACCUUUACAUUAUCAUUGCAGAACGGAGUCUGGUGGGUGCUGUCCAAUUUCGGAGAGCAGUGCUGAGAGCAGACAUGAGACCAGCACCCGUCGGCUGAAAUCCCCCGCCAAUCCCAAAAGAUGGCCAAGAAAGACCUUCUACUGCAUCAACAUCAACAGGGAAAAGGCCAGGAUUACGAUACAAGUGCAGAGACUAGAGAUGUGCCUACCCCUCCCCCGCCAUCGAAUAUGAAAUGUAUAAACGAAUUAUACAUGCAGCCUGAUUAUUAUGCAUUUGAACUUAAAACAACAUUAUAACCAGUCACAAAGCAAACAUAAUGCUUGUUCUGACUGCUGCAGCUAUUCUACUACAAGACAGUGAACAUUUUGUGGUUAUUCCAGUGUAAAUGAUUCCUUCACUUCAAGAACUAGCCACCCUUAUUUAUUGGGAAAAGCAUGUUAUCCAUCAUUCAGAGCUCCUUGGCCAUUUUCUAUCGAAAAAAGCCUCAGAUACGUGCCGGUACAUCAUACAGACGUAGGUCGUAAACUCUUAGAUAAUAUUAUUAAGUUUAACUGCAUAAUUGAAAUAACUACACGAUCUACGUGAAGCGUAGUUAAAGUGUACAUAUUUCUGACAUUGUAAACUGGCCAUUUACAUCCAAGGUGGUUGUCAAUGGAAAAUUGCCAAGGAGUUCCGAAUGGUUAUCCAUACCCACGCGUGUGAUUGUUAAUACAUUUGGAGGUCAUAUCACUAAUCUGAAGUCUUAUUGAGAGGAAACUGUAUCAUAACCUGACCUUUAUUAAAAUCUCAAAAAGGAGUUUAAGUUUAACUAUAUAUAGUUACAAACUUGACCUAGACUUGUAUGGUUUACGUGCAACCCUAAUCCACCUUUUACCUUAGCAUAUUUGCAUUAAGGUCCUGUCCAUAGCAUAACCCUUUUAUUUGUCAGACAUAGAUAUGCAAAUAGAUUUGUACUGUUAAGUUAUAUAGUUAUUAGGGAAUGGACAUUUUGUCUUGGUAAAUUGUUUUACAUAUGUUUGGAAUUAUGACCCUUGAAUUUUGAGAGACUUUGACUUGUGCAUUAAAUACAAGAAUAACCAAAACACUGACAGAGAGGCAAACAAAGACAUACAUUGGGCGUACUGUUACGAAGUUUGUUAAAGUUAACAACGUUGUUAACGUCAUCAUUGUUAACUUUGAUAUCCUUAUUGCUGUAGAAGUAUUAUUGAUACAUUUGUGAGCUGCAGUAUUUCUAACAAGAGUUGGGACAUCUGAUAAAAGGAGACCCAUUCCAGUUAGAUAUAUGAGCACAUCUCCAAAUAAUAUACAUUUAAAAGUUAACAACGAAGUCGUUCAUAACAUUUUUGUGUCGCCUUAAAAGACGACAUAUAGGGGUUACUUUUGUCGGCGGCGGCGUCGGCGGCGGCGUCGGUGCCGGCGGCGGCAUCCGCGUCCCAUUUUCGCUUGUCCGGGGUAUAUCUCCUAAACUAUUAGUGGUAUCAACUUGAAAUUUCAUAUGUAAAUAGAUCUAAUUGAGGGCAAGUGCAGUGCACAAGAACUGUUACUCUUGCUUCCAUAUUUUUAUCAACUUGAAACUUCAUAGCUAGAUAGAUCUCAUUGAGGGCAAGUGCAGUGCAUAAGAACCGUUACUCUUGCUGCCAUAUUUUUAGAGUUAUUGCCCUUUGUUAAUUUUCUUGCUUAGGUUUUGUCCGUGGCACAUCUCGUAAACUAUAGGAGGUAUCAACUUGAAACUUAUUCCGUAGGUAUAUCUGAUUGAGGGAAAGUGUAGUGCACAAAAACCGUAACUCUUGCAUCUAUAUGUUUAGAGUUAUUGCCCUUUGUUAAUUUUCAUGCUUAAAGUUUUGUCGGGGGCAUGUCUUGAAGAAUAUAAGAGGUAUCAACUUGAAACUUCAUAGCUAGAUAGAUCUCAUUGAGGGCAAGUGCAGUGCACAAGAACCGUAACUCUUGCUGCCAUAUUUUUAGAGUUAUUGCCCUUUGUUAAUUUUCAUGCUUAGGUUUUGUCCGUGGCAUAUCUCGUAAACUAUAGGAAGUAUCAACCUGAAACUUAUUCCGUAGGUAUAUCUGAUUGAGGGAAAGUGCAGUGCACAAAAACCGUAACUCUUGCAUCUAUAUGUUUAGAGUUAUUGCCCUUUGUUAAUUUUCAAGCUUAAAUUUUGUCCGGGCAUUUCUCGAAAAGUAUAAGAGUUAUCAACUUGAAACUUUAUAGAUAGAUCUUAUUGAAGGGGAUCGCAGUGCACAAAAACUGUAUCUCUUGCUUCCAUAUUAGAGUUAUUGCACUUUGUUAAUUUUCAUGUUUAACUUUACCUUGCACACUUUUUAAGCUCACCAGAGCACGAAGUGCUCAAGGUGAGCUAUUGUGAUCGGUCUUUGUCCGUCGUCCGUCCGUCAACAAUUGCUUAAAGAACAUCUCCUCUGAAACUACCGGUCUGGAUAACAGUUUAGACAUAAGCAAGACAGAGAUGCUCAUUUCACACCUGAAAACGUAUUAAUCCAUUAUCUUCAAAUUAUUUCUCAAUGUCAUUGACUUCAGUAUUUAUUGUGCUCAUUUUUGCUUUUAUAACCAAUUGCUUGCUCCUGGCUUAACGUUUGUCGACAGUAAAUAAUUCGUCAGGCGACACAUCCGACUCGCGGAGUUCUAGUUUACUUUAACAAAGUUCUGAACAUUCGGCCCAUUUACAGAUUUCCCUGGAAUAUUUAAAUAAGGUCAAAUAAUUAAAUAUACUGUGAAAUCAUUAAUGUUCGUGGGGCAUUAAUGUUCGUGGUUUUCGUGGGUUGGUUGAUCCACGAAUUCAAGAUCCCACGAAAUAUAAACCCUUUAUUCACUUUUUCAAUUGCCUUGUUACGUACAUACUCUAGUAUAUCAUUUACAGAGGUCGCAGUAUACAGUGUUAAAACCUGUCUCACUGUAAAACUUACGAUCAUUAUUCUGUUAAUAUAUUAUAACUGCCUUUAACAAAUAAUGAACCAAAUCAAUUAAAUGUGUUUUAUGCAGCAAAUGACAGUUAUAAGCACGUGUUUAAACGUGUGCUGUUAAUGAAAGUCUCCAAGUUUACAAGAUGUGCGUGAUGAGUGUCUGUACUCGAUUUUUUUAUUUAAUGAAAUAAUUAAUCGAUUACUAGUACAUUGAAGGUUACUAAGCACCGAACGUGACAAAAUACGCACCUUUUCGGUGUUUUCACAGUUUGCAAAAUUCUUAAUUGGCAUUCAAUGGCUUCCCCUAUCUGUAUUUAUGAUCAGGGUACAUCUUCUUUUAUUACCUUUAUUCCCAAUUAAAUCGAUAAGUGACAUGGGUAUAUGCACUAAUUGAUGUAGAAGACGGAAAUCACGGGCCAGCGCGUGGAUAUUAUGCAGACUAUCAAGGACGAUCGCAUCUUCGAUUUUUUUUUUCAAAAAUGAAAAUCCACGAAUUCAAGUACCCACGAAAUUGUUUUUUUUUUCGGCAAACCACGAAAUUUCAUGCCCACGAACAUUAAUGAUUUCACAGUAAUGUAAAUGUAGCUAAUUUUGGACAUUAUAAACUAAUUUAUCAGACAGCCCUUUAAUUGGUGCAACAUUCUUAGUUCAUUUAUAAGAGGUAACAAAUUAAAUUUUGUUAUGACCCCCUUCGAAGAAGAGGGGUAUAUUGCUUUGCACAUGUUGGUCGGUAGAUCAGUCGGGCCUGACCAGUAGAUGACCCUAUUAUUUUUUGGGGUCAUCGGGCCAAAGGUCAAGGUCACAGUGACCUUGAAUGAUAAAAGGUUGUCCAAGUUAUAACUCCACAAUACCUGCACCAAUGAACCUCAUACUUGACUUGGAGGUGUAAGACCUGACCAGUAGAUGGCCCCUAUUGAUUUUAGGGGUCAUUGGGCCAAAGGUCUAGGUCACAGUGACCUUGAAUGGUAAAAGGUUGUUUGAGUGAUACUUUAACUAUGCCUGCACCCAUGGCCCUCAAACUUGACUUGGAGGUUGGGCCUGACCAGUAGUUGACCCCUGAUGUUUUGGGGGGUCAUUAGGCCAAAGGUCAAGGUCACAGUAACCUUGAAUGGUAAAAGGUUGUUCGAGCGAUACUUCAACAAUGCCUGCACCCACGGCCCUCAAACUUGUCUUGGAGUUUGGGUCUGACCAGUAGAUGACCCCUUUUGAUUUAAGGGGUCAAAGGUCAAGGUCACAGUGACCUUGAAAGCAAACUCAACAAUUCCUGGACCUAUGGUCAUCAAACUUGACAUGAUGGUUGGGCCUGACCAGUAGAUGACCCUAUUGACACUUGGGGCCAUCUGGCCAAGGUCACAGUAACCUUUAAUGCAAAACAGUUAAUAAAUCUUCUCCCAGUUAUAUUUCAACAAUGCCUGCACCUAUGAUCAUCAAACUUGACAUGGAAGUUUGGCCUGACCAGUAGAUGACCCUUAUUAUACCCCGGACAAACGAAGUUUGGAGGGGGUAUAUUGGAGUCACCCUGUGGUCGGUUUGUCGGUCGGUCCAUUGCAAUUUACCUUGUACGGAGCAUAACUUAAAAAACUGGAAUUGGAUUAAACUUCAUACAAUGGUAGAGCAUAAUGAGAGGAAUUGCAGUGUACAAUAACCAUAACUCUAUUCUUGCUGAGUUAUUGCCCUUUGUUACUUUUUUUGGUCCGGAGUAUAACUUGAAAAGUACUGGAUGGAAUUCAUACAAUGAUAAAGCACAAUUUGAGGAAGUGCAGUGUUCAAGAACCAUAACUCUACUUUAGCUAAUUACUGAGUUAUUGCCCUUUAUUUUUUGCUGUCAAUUUUUUUUUCCAGACAUUAACUUGCAAACUACUAGAUGGAAUUUAUUGAAACUUCAUGCAAUGGUAAAGCACAAUCAGAGGAAGUGUAGUGCACAAGAACCAUCACUCGAUUUUAGCUAAUUACUGAGUUAUUGCCCUUUGUUUUUGCUGUCAAUUUUUUUCCAGACAUUAACUAGCCAACUACUAGAUGGAAUUUAUUGAAACUUCAUACAAUGGUAAAGCACAAUGAGAGGAAGUGCAGUGCACAAGAACCAUUACUCUAUUUAGCUAAUUACAGAGUUAUGGCCUUUAAUACUUUUUUCUUGUCCCGAGCAUAACUUGAAAACUAUUAAAUGGAAUUUAAUAAAGCUUCAUACAAUGACAGAUCAUAAUGAGAAGAAGUGCUGUGUCCAGGAACCGCAAUUCUAUUUCAGCUAAUUACAGAGUUACUGCCCUUUGUAAUUUUUCUUGUCCGGAGCAUAACUUGAAAACUAUUGGAUGGAAUUUAAUAAAACUUCAUACAGUGAUUGAUCAUAAUAAGAGGAAGUGCAAUGUACAGGAACCGCAAUUCUAUUACAGCAAAUUACAGAGUAAUUGCCCUUUGUUACUUUUUACUUGUUCGAAGCAUAACUUGAAAACUACCGGAUGGUAUGUAAUAAAACUUUAUACAAUGAUAUAGGACAAUGAGGAGUUCAGUGUAUAUAAAUCAUUACACUAUUUUAGCAAAUUACAAUGACGAUAGUCCCUAAAAUAAAGUUGUCAUUUAUAGGUUGGCUUUCCAAAAAGUUGACUGCAAUUUCAUAUCAGGGCAGCGUUUGGGGGUAUUUAUCACCUUCAGUGAUAGUUCUAGUUGAUAUUAGGAGUCAUCGGGUCAAAGGUCAAGUUCACAGUAAGCUUGAAUGCGAAAAUGUUUUGAGUAAUAACUCGACAAUGCCUGCACCCAUGGCCCCUUAAACUUGAUUUGCAGUUGCGUCUGACCUGUAGAUGACCCCAUAUGAUUUUAGGGGUCAUCAGGUCAAGGUCAUGGUGACCUUGAACGAAAAAAGCUUGUCUGUGUGAUAUCUUGACAAUGCCUGCACCCAUGGCCCUCGAACUUGACAUUUAGGUUUUUGACCAGCUGAUAACUCCUAUGGAUUUUGAGGUCAAAGGUCAUGGUCAUAACACACUAUCCUCACACUUUGAAGGGUCAUAAUCGUAAAAAUGCCUCAACGGCAUCCAAUGUCAGUGACAAAUCAGCUGUUAUUUCAAACCAUGCAUAUUUCAUUCAAUUGUCCAUAUAAUCCUGACAUCAUGGCGCUCAGGGGGGGGGGGGGGCAUAAUGUUUGACAAACAUCUCUUGUUUUGCUUAUUUUUGAUGUGACAUUCUUAUGUUUUUAUUAGUAACUUUCCAUUUUAAAUUUGGCAUUUUUAAGGUGAUGUGACAUAAGUUGCAUAUUCCUUUUGAAAGUGAACUGUCAAGUAAAUACAUUUUAACUUUCAAUGCUUUAUAUAGCAUUAUCUUAUCUCAUUAUGUCUGAUUUCUAAGAUCGUCUGCAUUGUAGUGGCCUAUGCGUCAUCAGCAAGUGUUGGUCCUGUUUAACAUGUCGGGGUUUUAGGUAGAUUUUAAUCUAUCAUUACAAAUACUUCUGGUUUCUCCACAGAAUUUUAAAUUUCUUUCAAAAAUUUCUUGCAACUUUUUAAAAAUAAAAUUUAUUUAUUUUUAGAAAAUAAUUAAAAUGGUUUGUAAUUGAUAAAAUUCUAUAAGAAACAAAUGUGCUUUCAUUGAAGAAACAAUGCGCAUGUUUCUUUUUGAAAGUUGCAUUAAAACAGUCCGUCAGUGAAUUACUGCCACUUGCUGUUGUUAUCGCUUACUUACACUCGCUUACUUACACUAACUCUGCUGCUUGACUUACUUAAGUGAAUCAAUGACUGAAACUGUCAUAGUUUUCAUUCGUUACUUGUACAAACUAUUCAUAUCAUCUUAAGAUUGGCUUUUAUUUGAGCGGGAAUAUCCCCGAUAAUGUGGGAUUUGGUCAAUUCUAGGCGCGACACUUCAUGAAAGUGUUUGUUGGUGAAAUAUCUAGGUCAAGUUCGAUAACCAGCCAAAUCGCUUAAGGCACUCCAGAGUUAUGGCCCCCUGAAUUUGUCAAGAUUGGCCAUUUUAGCUUUGUCCGCUCUCUAACUUGAUCAUUUCUCAUCCAAUUUCCACCAAACGUCAUGAAAGUGUUUGUUGGUGAAAUAUCUCGGUCAAGUUCAAUAACCAGCCAAAUCGCUUUAGGCACUCGAGUUAUGGCCCCCUGAAUUUGUCAAAAUUGUCCAUUUUAGCUUUGUCCGCUCUCUAACUUGAACAUUUCUCAUCCAGUUUCCACCAAACUUCAUGAAAGUGUUUGUUGGUGAAAUAUCUAGGUCAAGUUCGAUAACCAGCCUAAUCGCUUUAGGCACUCCAGAGUUAUGGCCCCCUGAAUUUAUCAAAAUUGGCCAUUUUAGCUUUGUCUACUCUCAAACUUGAACAGUUUUUAUCCGAAUUUCACCAAACUUGCUACUAUAAAUGUUUGUUGGUAUAUAUUCUUGGCAAAGUUCUAUAACCAGCCAGGCUCUUCAGGAUUAUGGCCCUUGAAUUGGUCAAAAUUUGCCAUUUUUGCUUUGUCCACUGUCUAAUUUGAACAGUUAUCAUCUGAUCUUCACCAAACUUGCUGAAAAUAUUUGUUGGUAAAAUAAAUCGGUCAAGUAUGAUAAUCAGCCAAAUGUUAAUGCCAUAUUGUGCCAAAUCAUUUGCUUCUUGAAAAGCUUGCUUCUCAAAGGGCCAAUGUGACAGUAAGUUGUCUUAGAAUCCAAGAAAUUAUUGAUGGGCGUAUUUUGUGAGUGUCACUCUUGUUAGUAUUUGGGUACAACAGACAAUAGUAUAACAUGUUCCAUGAAUGUUGAUAAAAGCUAAUUUUUUAAUUGUUGAAUGUGUUUGUAUAUUUGACUUGCUUCUGUCGCCCAGUUUCAAGCAAUAAACUAUCGCAUA